UACCAGCACCCCGAGUGGUCGGGACGAUUAUUGGGCCUAAAGCAUCCGUAGCCGGUUUACAAGUCCUCCGUUAAAUCCAGCUGCUUAACAGAUGGGCUGCGGAGGAUACUAUAAGACUAGGAGGCAGGAGAGGCAAGCGGUACUCAGUGGGUAGGGGUAAAAUCCGUUGAUCCAUUGAAGACCACCAGUGGCGAAGGCGGCUUGCCAGAACGCGCUCGACGGUGAGGGAUGAAAGCUGGGGGGAGCAAACCGG
rnacentral:rRNA from 1 species